rnacentral:lncRNA from 1 species
UGAGGCAGAGGGUGUCAUCCGUUGCUCGGCUAGCCUCUCUUCUGUCCUGUCCUUUCUUAAACAUUUCUCUAAAGCAGAUAAUCUAGCAAAGAUUCUGCUGGUGAGAGAUAUUUGUGUAUGUUGUUAAAGCAUACUUUCCUGUGAGUAGGUCAUUGGGGAGGACACUCAAGACAGAGCUGGUAGUCUGUUACUAGCAUGCCUUCAUCUGUAUAAGGUGCUCAGCCUAAGCUUUGCUUGAAGUGCAUACAUGUUACAAACUUAAAUUGCCAACAUAUAAAUUACUCUGUCAGCAGACACACUUUUGUCCUCCGUGUCUGUUCCUAGGAGGGUGUGAGCUGUAUUUGUAUCACUGAGGUGUCAACUAUAGCUGUGUCCUGGAUCGUUCAUAGCGUGCUUUGUAAGAACAGCUGACUUAAUUCACGUGAAGGGCAGGUUGUACCAUGAAGUGAAGGCCAUUGUCCAUCCUCCAGCCUCAGGUUUCUUCUGCCCCAUGCCUGGUAAGCUGCACACGCAGUGCAGCAUGAGCAAAGGAAAGUCUUCUGAGCCUGCUGUCUCCGCUGUAGAGAAUUAUUUGGCUAAAGAAAUAGUCAUUAGUUGACUCAAAGUCUCAAUAAUUUCAAUGACAACGAUCUUUUUUUUUAAUUAGCCACAAAUAGCCUGAUAAAUUUUCAUGGAAAAACAUUUUCAGUUUAAUUCUUAAUAAUGGUUUAAUGCUUUUUUGAAUUACUGGUUUAACCUAAAUUAAAAGAAAAUGUAUUACUGCAUAUGCCAUAAUCACAAGUUUGAAAUAUCCUAUUUCUUAAAUAAAAAGGAGAACGUUAAUUACAUUUAGCAGACAUUUUUACAUUCAAAACUGGAUAUUGAAAUACGUGGAACAAUUGCUUUAAAUCACUGUCUGUUGAGGUUCCUGAUUCAUGUUUUGAAAUGGGUUCUUUUCUUAAUGCAAUACCUAACUUUUGAUAAUUUUUUAAAAUUAAUAUUUAAUCAGAUAAUGUAAGUCAAAAUGCAGACGAUCCUUUAAAAGGACACACUGUCUGUCUAUGUAGCAACAGCUCCAGAUACGUUGGGGCAGUUUGAUACCUUUUAUAUCUUAAGUAGCCUUAAACAGAACAGCGAAAAUUUAAAAUUGACAAAAUAUUUUUAAGACUUCAAAAUAGUAAAUAAUUUUUAACUAUUAUAAUUGGCCUCAAACUAACAAAUUUAAAUCUGUAGGAAAAUCAAUAUUAAAUAUUAGGUUAACAACAAAAACUCAAUAUUUAUUUUUUGGAAGCUGCCUUUUUAUUGAUGAUUUAUUUUUAAUUAUAAAAUUUACAUCAGAUCUUUGAUUAAAGACUUUGAUGGUUUGAAAUAGCCGGACACUCAAGGAAAUUGCUUCUAGAAUUAUAAGAUUCUUUAUAAAAUGCAUCUUCAUGAAGGUGAUUCUCUAAUUGGUAAUUGAAAUGUAGCAUUUAGUAAGAUUCCAACAUCUCACUGCAAGUGUCUACAUGUUUCCAAGUAGUUAUUUUAAUAAUUUCAUUAGUAGGUCCAGUUCCUUGCAUGUGAUUGUUAAAACGUUUUUCUCAAGGAGUUCAGCUUUUCACAGCCUCAGCGAUCUGUACUGUAAUUGUAACACCUGAGUUGCUGGGUUGGUUCUUAUGAGCUUUAUGGCAGUUGGCAGUUUAUGUCUUUGCUUCCCUUUUCUGUGUAUGGAGGCCUCAGCAACCUCGAUUCUAUAAUGGUUACUACAUUUUGUAUUUUAAGUAAUUUCUACAGGGAUCAUUUUGGAACACAUGAAUGUUCAUUAGUAGUAGUUCUUACUGCAAAUCAGGAAGCCUUCCCAGCCACUUCUGGGAGGUGCUGCGUUGUAGACUGUGUCUGCGGAGGAACAUGAGUUCAUGAAUAUGCACAAAGCACUUAAACCUUGUCUCUUCUUUCAGAAGUGUCUGCACAUGGCUUCAUGAAGCUAAGCCCAGGAAAAUACUGUUCUCUGAAGCAUCUUAACUCAAAGAGUAGUGUUUUUCCUGUUGGGUAUCAGAGGCCUAGAACACUGACUUGUCCUUCCCAAGUUAGUCAUAUGUGUAAUAGUUUGCUUAAAUCACAUGCAGGUUGGGCUUUCAGUGGGAAUGGGAACUUGCUGCUAGUGAGAAAUGGAGUCAGAUACUAAAGACUCACCAAACAGGCUGUAUUGACCUUGGAGAAACUGCUGCAUCCAUGUGUGGUGGUGCAUAAGUGAAUUGAGUCUUAAUGCUAUGGUCCUUGAGCAUCUCCGUUAGCUGAAUUGUGGAGACCACAUGUUUCUUGUGUCCAACAUUUUAUUACAGAAUAAAGGAUUAACCUAUGGUCUUUUUAGAAAUGGUAGGUUGUUACUCAAAAUGCUUACGUAUAAUAGGAUUAUUGACCUGAGGUUAUUUAUGAAUCUGGAAGCUUUCUGGUAUGCAUAUUUGUGUUGUUGGUGUAUUUUGGGAAACAAAAGCUCAAUAAAAUAUAAGCUUC